rnacentral:rRNA from 1 species
UACAGAGGUCUCAAGCGUUGUUCGGAUUUAUUGGGCGUAAAGAGCGUGUAGGCGGCCAGGUAGGUCAGCUGUGAAAACUCGAGGCUCAACCUCGAGACGCCAGUUGAAACCAUCUGGCUAGAGUCCGGAAGAGGAGAGUGGAAUUCCGCGUGUAGCAGUGAAAUGCGUAGAUAUGCGGAGGAACACCGAUGGCGAAGGCAAUCCCCUGGGCCUGCACUGACGCUCAUGCACGAAAGCGUGGGGAGCAAACAGG